CCAACCCUGGAGCAGAUGCAGCAGCAUCCCUGGAUGCGAUAGAAUAGACUAUAUUUCAUCUAUAAAUGUCCUAAAUAAACAUGGCCAGCAUUCCUAUUCAUGUCAUCCCUGACUGAUAGUAGAUAAAACGAUAUAGCAAGGGGAUUCAAAUAUUACCCUACGAGGUUCAGAUUACUGCUGGUUUUCUACCUGAUAAUGAAUUACACACAGCUGAUGUCACAUGUUAAAAUCAGGGGUAAAAUGGGAAAAUAAAUCAGUGGAACUGGUUUAGAGGUCCAGAGUUGAAUUUGAGGGGUAUAUGGUAUUGAUGAAUAGAGGAGUUCGUUAUUUAUCGUCUUUUUGAGGCAUCAGAGUCCACCCAGCGCUGUUUUUUCAGGAACAUCACACUGCGCACGGUUCGCACGCGCUGAAGGUUGAACGGAGCUUUACACGAGAGGACCCACAAAACCUCAGCCCCUGGUAUUCAAGACUGAACCCUGAAACACCUCGGCCCCUGGUAUUCAAGACUGAACCCUGAAACACCUCGGCCCCUGGUAUUCAAGACUGAACCCUGAAACACCUCGGCCCCUGGUAUUCAAGACUGAACCCUGAAACACCUCGGCCCCUGGUAUUCAAGACGGAACCCUGAAACACCUCGGCCCCUGGUAUUCAAGACUGAACCCUGAAACACCUCGGCCCCUUGUAUUCAAGACUGAACCCUGAAACACCUCGGCCCCUGGUAUUCAAGACUGAACCCUGAAACACCUCGGCCCCUGGUAUUCAAGACUGAACCCUGAAACACCUCGGCCCCUGGUAUUCAAGAUUGAACCCUGAAACACCUCGGCGGCCCUCCUUUGUAAAGGACACCAGCAGUAUGGUCUCAGACCAGCUCCCCUCCUUUGUAAAGGACACCAACAGUAUGGUCUCAGACCAGCUCCCCUCCUAAAGGACACCAGCAGUAUGGUCUCAGAACAGCUCUCCUCCUAAAGGACACCAGCAGUAUGAUCUCAGAACAGCUCCCCUCCUAAAGGACACCAGCAGUAUGAUCUCAGAACAGCUCCCCUCCUAAAGGACACCAGCAGUAUGGUCUCAGAACAGCUCCCCUCCUUUGUAAAGGACACCAGCAGUAUGGUCUCAGAACAGCUCCCCUCCUAAAGGACACCAGCAGUAUGGUCUAAGAACAGCUCCCCUCCUAAAGGACACCAGCAGUAUGAUCUCAGAACAGCUCCCCUCCUUUGUAAAGGACACCAACAGUAUGGUCUCAGAACAGCUCCCCUCCUAAAGGACACCAGCAGUAUGGUCUCAGAACAGCUCCCCUCCUAAAGGACACCAGCAGUAUGGUUUCAGAACAGCUCCCCUCCUAAAGGACACCAGCAGUAUGAUCUCUAUUAUUGAAUCUCUUGAUCCUCUCCCGGAGAAUACUUUGUUAGUUACUUUUGAUGUCGAUUCGUUGUUAUGCGAUUUUUAAAAAAAGAAUAAUGACUAAAUGAGGUAUACGGCACUAUAACGGGCAAGAAAUCUACCCUGUCUUUCUUGUCGUGUUAAAUAAUGUUUGUUCAUAAAUAAUGUUUGUUCAUUAGGAAGGGGUUCUAUGGCAUGUACCUAGGAAGAAAUGUAUGUACCUGUAUGUACCAUGUACCUAGGAAGAAAGGAAUGUAUGUGGAGAUAAGAGAGGACAGGGAGAGCCCCUCCAGAGCUCUGGGGGGGGCUUGGAACUGUCAGCUGAGGGGUUAUAAACUGUGAUGAGACUCAUGAGAAAAUCCCUAUGUUGGUGUGUAUGUAUGUGCGUAGGUUAGGAUGGUAUAAGAAGGAAUGUAUUUGUGAAAACUGGAGAGCUCUCGCAAAUAAAUCGGGAUCUGAUCAAUUGUGA